rnacentral:rRNA from 1 species
UUUUAUACGGGAAGAAACACUCCCUCGUGAGGGAGCUUGACGGUACCGUAAGAAUAAGGAUCGGCUAACUCCGUGCCAGCAGCCGCGGUAAUACGGAGGAUCCAAGCGUUAUCCGGAAUCAUUGGGUUUAAAGGGUCCGUAGGCGGGACAAUAAGUCAGCGGUGAAAGUCCGUGGCUCAACCAUAGAAUUGCCAUUGAUACUGUUGUUCUUGAGUGUUUAUGAAGUGGUUGGAAUAUGUAGUGUAGCGGUGAAAUGCAUAGAUAUUACAUAGAACACCGAUUGCGAAGGCAGAUCACUAAUAAAAUACUGACGCUGAUGGACGAAAGCGUAGGUAGCGAACAGGAUUAGAUACCCUGGUAGUCUACGCCGUAAACGAUGGUUACUAGCUGUUCGGUCGUAAGACUGAGUGGCUAAGCGAAAGUGAUAAGUAACCCACCUGGGGAGUACGUUCGCAAGAAUGAAACUCAAAGGAAUUGACGGGGGCCCGCACAAGCGG